UAAGGAAGGAAUUAAUUGGAGGACAAGCAAUUCAAAAGCCAAUCCUUCAGAUCAAAUCACACCAAAUUCCUCUCUCUUCUUUCUUCCUCGUUACCCCAUAUUCUCAUUCUUAACAAAAAAAACAUUUAAAAAAUCUAAAAUAAAAAAAAAAAAAUUAAAACUUUAUCAAAAUCAAAACUUUAAAGGCUUGAGAAUUGAAUCAAUCUCCUCUUAUAAACACAUAGUAUUAUUGUUCUCAAUUUGGUCAAAAAAAAAAAAAAAACAGUGGGAACAAAAAAGUAAAGGGCAAUAUAGAGGGGGCAUGUUGUACUGCCUCCUCUGUAGAUCUUGUUGAUUUUUUCAUUUGGGUAUUUUCAAAAGGCAGAAUCUUGAUUUGGGUAUUUCUUAUUUUCCUCAAAAGUCUUUUAAGUUUGAUGAAAUAUUUUCAUUGUUGGGUUGCUGUAUGCUUGAGCUUUUACCUUUGGAUUCUUGUUUGUUUGUUUCUUUAAGGAUCGGAUUCCUUUUGAUUGAAUCUGAUAAUAUUUUGAUCAGUUUCAGAUUCUUGUCUGUUUGUGAGGCUCUCUUAAUACUACUUCAUAGUAAAGGUACGACCUUUACUGCUUUGCUGCUCUUUAUUAAUAAUCUGCAUUUCAUUUCAUUAAUGCUGUAUUUUGGAUUUACCUUAAGC
rnacentral:lncRNA from 1 species